rnacentral:rRNA from 1 species
GAUGAACGCUGGCGGCGUGCUUAACACAUGCAAGUCGAACGAUGAAGCCCAGCUUGCUGGGUGGAUUAGUGGCGAACGGGUGAGUAACACGUGAGUAACCUGCCCUUAACUCUGGGAUAAGCCUGGGAAACUGGGUCUAAUACCGGAUAGGAGCGUCCACCGCAUGGUGGGUGUUGGAAAGAUUUAUCGGUUUUGGAUGGACUCGCGGCCUAUCAGCUUGUUGGUGAGGUAAUGGCUCACCAAGGCGACGACGGGUAGCCGGCCUGAGAGGGUGACCGGCCACACUGGGACUGAGACACGGCCCAGACUCCUACGGGAGGCAGCAGUGGGGAAUAUUGCACAAUGGGCGCAAGCCUGAUGCAGCGACGCAGCGUGAGGGAUGACGGCCUUCGGGUUGUAAACCUCUUUCAGUAGGGAAGAAGCGAAAGUGACGGUACCUGCAGAAGAAGCACCGGCUAACUACGUG